rnacentral:rRNA from 1 species
UUACUCCUACGGGGGGCAGCAGUGGGGAAUAUUGGACAAUGGGGGGAACCCUGAUCCAGCGACGCCGCGUGAGUGAAGAAGUAUUUCGGUAUGUAAAGCUCUAUCAGCAGGGAAGAAAAUGACGGUACCUGACUAAGAAGCCCCGGCUAACUACGUGCCAGCAGCCGCGGUAAUACGUAGGGGGCAAGCGUUAUCCGGAUUUACUGGGUGUAAAGGGAGCGUAGACGGCUAGUCAAGUCAGCAGUGAAAGCCCAGGGCUCAACCUUGGGACUGCUUUUGAAACUGAGUAGCUAGAGUGCAGGAGG